AGCACAAUAAAGACUAUGUUUCAAAAUUGCUCUCAGUACUGAAAAUCUAUCUAUAAUGUAUGUAUCAGUACAGACAGCAAUUUUGAAACAGUUGACAUUAUUUUAUUAACACUACACGUCAUUUGGGAUGCGUUCUUAAAUUCGCAACGGAUGCUGCCAGAUACACCAGAAUGUCAUUCCAUCUUUGUUACUUACGGAAAGUUGAACAAAGAUAGGAUGACACUCCAGUGCAUCCGUUGCGAAUUUAAAAACGCACCCUUGAUGAAAGCUGGCGCGUAGCGUGAACGAGUUACUGCCGACCCACAUGUUUAUUAAAAUUCUUAUCCUUACAACAUUAUCAUUGAUUGACAAUUACAGCAAUAAUUUACAUCACGCAACAUCUCAUCUAUUUCGAUAAAUAAACGAUUUAACCUCCACUACACAUGUCACUUGACACAAGCUGAAUUCUGAUCCGAGCAACUUACAUUAAAACAAUGUAAAAUUAAUAAAAUAGUUCUCUGAUUUUAUAUUAGUGUCAAUGAGAGAUGAGAUGUUGUAUCAUGUAGAAGAAUUGUGUAUUGGUUAAAUGUUGACAAUUAUAGCAAUAAUACACAUUUUACAUCAUGCAACAUCUCAUCUAUCUCAUCGACACCAGUGUAAAAUCUGAUAAAAUCUGAUGAGCUAUGUUAUUCUCUGAUUAAUUAAUUUUACAUUGGUGUCAAUGAUUAAUUGACAAUUAAAUAAAAAAUCAAUAAUAACAUAAUCCCAUACGCGUCACUUCAUGCGAGCUGGUGCAUAGCGCGAGCGAGCCACGUGUUACCCACGUGAAUUUUAGUUAUCUGGUGUUAUAGGGAUUUUAAUUCGAUAAUCAAUAGGUUGCAUGUACUUUUUUUGAUAUCACGGCGCUGAUAGCGCGUUUUCUGAAAAAGUAGUCGUAUACGAUUAAUCAUUAAUUGUAUUGUUAAUGAUUGUGCCUUUUGUUAUCAAGAGACACGGAAGUGGCUUGCAUUUAUUGUGUAUAACAUGCGACGUUUAAUGUACGACGAAGAUUGUAGUUUUUAGCGAUAAAAAGGUGAAUUGUGCUGGUUGGUUGCGUUUUUUCUUUUUGUGUGCAAAACGUGAUUCGUGGUCUGUACAGAAGACAGUAAAAUUCAACCAAAGGAUAUAAAGGAUUUUAAAAUUAUUGAAAUAUUUUCAAAGUAAGGGAGGAUUCUAAGAUGCCUGUGAGCAUCAACAUUUGGCUCAUAAUCUGUUUCACGACUGACAAAUUUGUCAGUGUGCAGUUUAGAUGAGCUGAGAUUAUUAUAUGUAUAUAUACGAUAAAAAUUAUAAUUAGUACCAAGAUCUAACUGUAGAUCAUUUCAGCUUUUUUAACUUUAUUGAUAUGUUUAAACAUAUUGAUUUUUUAUAAAAUAUAUUACUAGUAUUCAAUGAGCCACUACUUUGAACCAAGUGCAACCUGUCAUUUUAUCAAUGAGAAUUUAAAUUGAAAUAGCUCGCAAUGUCCAAUUGUUCACAUUCAAAAGAAUUAUGUUAAAAGUAUUUACGAUAUAGAAAUAAUUUAUAUUUUAUAUGAAAUAUAAUACUUUUAUCGAACUUUACGUUUGUUAAAUGUAUAUUUAGUGUUAUCCAAAAAAAGUAACUAAAAUGUAUCUAAAUAUAGGUACCAAUACAUAAAAAAUUGUAUCUAGAUAUAGAUAUAAAUAUAGAUAUAGGUACAAGAGAUAAAAAGUAUCUCGAUACUGUACCUAGGUACAUAAAUAAAUAAUAUGUACCUAGUUAUAGUACUUAAGUACUUGUACUUAGGUACUACACACCACUGAAUAUAACCCACACAGCAAAUAUAUUUGUAAUAUAAUCAAAUAUCUUUUUUGUACUUACAAUUUUAAAUCAAUUUUAAGGUAUUUUAUUGUUAAAUAUUUAUAAAAUUCUACAUUAUAUUACUUGAUAUCAUGUAUUGUCCGUAAAACGAUAUCUCUAGAACAUUUUCUCGAAUUUUGAGGCAUUUUUUAAUAUAGGAAUUAAAGAUUAGAAUAAAUGUAAAAAUUAAAUAUAUGUUUGUGACUUUUUUGAAUCAGAUUCUUAAGAUAUCUUAAAAUAUCUAAGUGUUAUGUAACAACAGAUAUUUUGAUAUAUAUUUUGUUGUGUGGUUUAUUUUGUAAACAGAUGUUUUUCUACUU
rnacentral:lncRNA from 1 species